rnacentral:rRNA from 4 species
AAAUUGAAGAGUUUGAUCAUGGCUCAGAUUGAACGCUGGCGGCAGGCCUAACACAUGCAAGUCGAACGGUAACAGGAAGCAGCUUGCUGCUUUGCUGACGAGUGGCGGACGGGUGAGUAAUGUCUGGGAAACUGCCUGAUGGAGGGGGAUAACUACUGGAAACGGUGGCUAAUACCGCAUAACGUCGCAAGACCAAAGAGGGGGACCUUCGGGCCUCUUGCCAUCAGAUGUGCCCAGAUGGGAUUAGCUUGUUGGUGAGGUAACGGCUCACCAAGGCGACGAUCCCUAGCUGGUCUGAGAGGAUGACCAGCCACACUGGAACUGAGACACGGUCCAGACUCCUACGGGAGGCAGCAGUGGGGAAUAUUGCACAAUGGGCGCAAGCCUGAUGCAGCCAUGCCGCGUGUAUGAAGAAGGCCUUCGGGUUGUAAAGUACUUUCAGCGGGG